GGCUUAGAAGCAGCCAUCAUUUAAAGAGUGCGUAAUAGCUCACUAGUCGAGUGACACUGCGCCGAAAAUGUACCGGGGCUAAACAUAUUACCGAAGCUGUGGAUUGUCCUUUGGACAAUGGUAGGAGAGCGUUCUAAGGGCGUUGAAGCAUGAUCGUAAGGACAUGUGGAGCGCUUAGAAGUGAGAAUGCCGGUGUGAGUAGCGAAAGACGGGUGAGAAUCCCGUCCACCGAUUGACUAAGGUUUCCAGAGGAAGGCUCGUCCGCUCUGGGUUAGUCGGGUCCUAAGCUGAGGCCGACAGGCGUAGGCGAUGGAUAACAGGUUGAUAUUCCUGUACCACCUAUAAUCGUUUUAAUCGAUGGGGGGACGCAGUAGGAUAGGCGAAGCGUGCGAUUGGAUUGCACGUCUAAGCAGUAAGGCUGAGUAUUAGGCAAAUCCGGUACUCGUUAAGGCUGAGCUGUGAUGGGGAGAAGACAUUGUGUCUUCGAGUCGUUGAUUUCACACUGCCGAGAAAAGCCUCUAGAUAGAAAAUAGGUGCCCGUACCGCAAACCGACACAGGUAGUCAAGAUGAGAAUUCUAAG
rnacentral:rRNA from 1 species